rnacentral:rRNA from 1 species
AUUGAACGCUGGCGGCGUGCUUAACACAUGCAAGUCGAUCGGUAACGCGGGGGCAACCCUGGCGACGAGAGGCGGACGGGUGAGGAACGCUUGGGAAUCUGCCUAUCAGCGGGGGACAACCCGGGGAAACUCGGGCUAAUACCGCAUACGCUCUACGGAGGAAAGCCGGGGACCGCAAGGCCUGGCACUGAGAGAUGAGCCCAAGUCGGAUUAGCUAGUUGGCGGGGUAACGGCCCACCAAGGCGACGAUCCGUAGCUGGUCUGAGAGGACGAUCAGCCACACUGGGACUGAGACACGGCCCAGACUCCUACGGGAGGCAGCAGUGGGGAAUAUUGGACAAUGGGGGAAACCCUGAUCCAGCGACGCCGCGUGGGUGAAGAAGGCCUGCGGGUUGUAAAGCCCUUUCGGUAGGGACGAAAGCUCUCGACCUAACACGUCGGGAGGUUGACUUGACCUACAAAAGAAGCACCGGCUAACUCUGUGCCAGCCGCCGCCGUAAGAC